rnacentral:rRNA from 1 species
CAGAGUGACAGGUGGUGCAUGGUUGUCCUCAGCUCGUGUCGUGAGACGUUGCGUUAAGUUCCGCAACGAGCGCAACCCUUCAUCUUAGUUCUCCACAUUAAGUCGGGCACUCUAAGGUGACUGCCCGGCGACAAACCGGAGGAAGGUGGGGAUGACGUCAAAUCAUCAUGCCCCUUAUGACCUGGGCUACACCCGUGCUACAAUGGACGGUACAAAGAGCUGCAAGACCGCGAGGUGGAGCUAAUCUCAUAAAACCGUUCUCAGUUCGGAUUGUAGGCUGCAACUCGCCCACAUGAAGCUGGAAUCGCUAGUAAUCGCGGAUCAGCAUGCCCCGGUGAAUACGUUCCCGGGCCUUGUACACACCGCCCGUCCCACCCCGAGAGUUUGUAACACCCGAAGUCGGUGGGGUAACCUUUUUGGAGC